AGCGAACGCUGGCGGCGUGCUUAACACAUGCAAGUCGAGCGAAGGUGUUUCAAGGGUAACCUUGAGAUACACUUAGCGGCGGACGGGUGAGUAAUACGUGGAUAACUUACCUCUAGGCCUGGGAUAACCCCGGGAACUGGGGCUAAUACCUGAUAAGACCACAUUGUCUACGGACAAAGGGGUAAAAGGUGGCUGUGCAAACAGCUAUCGCCAAAAGAUAGGUUCACGUCCCAUCAGGCAGUUGGUGAGGUAAUGGCUCACCAAACCAAAGACGGGUAGCCGGCCUUGGCGGGUGAACGGCCACACGGGGACUGAGACACGGCCCCGACUCCUACGGGAGGGCAGCAGUGGGGAAUAUUGGGCAAUGGGCGCAAGCCUGACCCAGCGACGUCGCGUUGGGAAGAAGCC
rnacentral:rRNA from 1 species